rnacentral:lncRNA from 1 species
CUAUUUUUGAAGGAUGAAGUGGAUAAUCUUCAGUCACUGGGAAAGGAUCGUAUGAAACACCAUCUACAUAAAGUGUCACUGCAGGAAAUUCAACAUUGAGGACAUAAUGGUGCCAUUCUUUGUCACAAACUUGGUUUAGCUUCCAGUGGAAUUCUGCAGGCUUGUAUGUCUUUCCCUCUGAAGGAUCUUGUCGGAAGAGGAAAACAAGGCGGCAGUUGUGCACAUACAGCGUGUAGUGGUGUCGAUUCAUAUCUGUCUUGUCUGAAUUGCAAAGAAUUGUCUCCUUCUCUUUGGUUCCAGGCCCA